rnacentral:lncRNA from 1 species
CAAUGCAGGAAUGAAGGCGCUGCCCCGCAUAUGUAGGGCUGCACCCUGCGUGCAUUGCUCUACGGGUGACACAAGGGAGUAUUAGGGAUAUAAUUAAUGCUGUUUAUAAGUUACUUAAUGGGGGUCAGGGGAUGGGAGGAAAAGGUGUGGGGGUUUGGGUAUCAUACAGAUUAGGAAACAAAUAGCAUCUCCUGACAAUUGGGAUGAGAUAUCUGGAGAUCCUGACUGUAGUCAUCCAGAAGAGGAUGACUACAGUCAUCCUUUCUUUUUUAUUAACACAAACCCAGAUCUGCUGGUGAAACAGAAAUGACCGUAAGACCCUGGGGAAGUCAGCAUAGUCGUGAUGUUCCAUUAGCUGCUCCACAGGCCUCACACCACCAAUUAGAGGAGUCCCAACAAUCCUUAAAACCCACUGAGCUGCAAACUGAGAUCAGAAGAGAGGACAUAAUUUAAAACAUGAUAAUGAUGCCCAGCAUGCCCUUAAACAACUCUGCGUGGGUGCAAUUAACACAUGGCACUGUGAAUUACAGCCAUGAGAUGGGAUGAUGGGGGAGAAGACAAACCACAUUUGGAGCCGAGGUUGGAGAUCAUGAGGUGAAAACCAUGAAAGAGGAAACAGCGGCUCAAUCAGAAAGAAAUGGGCUUAAAAAGGGCUGCAAACAGGACCUGCAGAAUGCAGAACCCCUGAACGGAAUAGGGUAUUAACUGUCACCGUGUCCAGAACUGCAGCGCUCAGUCAGCCAAUCAGCAUCAUUAGGGCUCAUUGAAGCAAUCCAGAAGCAAGGGAACUGUGAAAGGAAGGAAUGGGUGUCAGUCCAUCCAUCAACUGCUCAGAGAACAGGAGAGAACCCCUUCAUCUCCCUUAGGACAAGACUGAAGGCACCGUAGGGACACACACAGCAGAUACAGCUGCUCUAAUCCAGCUCAGGAUCUCCCCGGAAAGACAUGGCUCACAGCUCUACAAUAAAGCAGGAAUCCCUCACCCCAUUUAAGGGCUUCCCCCCACACCCCAAAGGAAGCAGUCUCCAAGUUCAGAUACAGGCCUGAAAGCUACCAGUUCUUACAUGGGGUCAAGAUCUCCCCAAAAGAGGAGCUCAGAGCCCUGAAAUUCAGAAAGAACCACUUACCCCAUUCCAAGGACCAAUACUCACUCGCUCCCCCAAAGAAGCAGUUUCCAGGUACAGAUGGCCGCCAGCCCCAAAAUGCAGCUAUGAACCCCCAGCAAAGGGAUAGAUCACAGCCCUCCAAUACAGAAGAACUCACCCCCACACCCUCAAGGAAGCACAGCCAGACUCAGAUGCUGCCCCCUUUGCUUCCCAGCCCUUAAAUGCGGUCAGGGAGGGGAGGAGCCCGUCUCAGCCCCACCCCACAGCCAAAUUGCCAUCAGCUGUGCUCGCAGGGCUGCACCUCCCCAGGUGAAUGGGAGCUGCUGAGUCAUGGCCUGAACCACUGAUUGAUUGGCUGAGGCAGAACUUAGUCAGCUGUGGGAGCACAGGUGGAGUCAAUCCAGUGUGAAUAGAAGGUGGAGCCUGGCUGCAGCUCUCCAAGAUAGCAUUUAAGGGCUGACUACCCCCAGGAAAGGGUCUUUAUUGUAACUUUGGGAUGUUUGUUUUCAGGAUUCACUAUCAGAGCAUCUUAUAAGGCAAUAAGAGUUCAAGAGUCUACAUCGUGGAUGAGUGUGCUGCUUCCCUGAGCACUUCGGAUCCUCAAAAAAGGAAAAAGGAGCAACAUUCCUGGAGGAGCUGGCAAAAAAAGGUAGGCAUUUUGAUUACUUACAUACACAUGGAUAAUAUAGAUAUUUCAGGUUGACUGAUUGCAUCACUACAAAAUCAUGCAUUUUCUUUCAAAAAAAUCCACAUAUACCAGAAAAACAUCCAUUUUCUCUCUGAAAAUCCCCCGUUUACUCAACUAGCAUGCAUUUUCUCUUAGAAAAUACCCCAUCUACCCAAAUGACAAGCAUUCUGAUUACAAAAUCCGAAACUAAAAAAGAAAAUCAUCACUUUCUCAAUGAAAAUUCCACAUUAAAGCAAAAAUCAUGCAUUUCAUCUUCAAAAAUUCUCCAUUUAACCCGAAUGUCAUCAAAUGGCUCUAUGAAAAUUUCAAAUAAAACAUAACAUCAUGCAUUUUCACUUUGAGAACCACCCAAUUAAAGCAAAAAUAAGGCAAUGACUUCACAAAUCCCCCAUUUAGGCAUAAGUCACGCGUUUUCUCUCCAGAAUCCUCCAUUUAACCCGAAAAUCACGCGUUUUCUCUUCGAGAAUCCCCCAUUUAACCGAAAAUCACGCGUUUUCUCUUCGCAAAUCCCCCAUUUAACUCAAAAUUCACGCGUUUUCUCUUCGGAAAUCCCCCAUUUAACCCGAAAAUCACGCGUUUUCUCUUGGAGAAUCUUCCAUUUAACCCGAAAAUCACUCAUAUCCUCUGCGCAAAUCCCCCAUUUAACUCGAAAAUGACGCGUUUUCUCUUUGCAAAUCCCCCAUUUAAGCGAAAAUCACGCGUUUUCUCUUCACAAAUCCCACAUUUAACCCGAAAAUCACGCGUUUUCUCUUCGCAAAUCCCCUUUUAACCGGAAAAUCACGCGUUUUCUCUUCGCAAAUCCACCACUUCACCCGAAAAACACGCGUUUUCUCUUCGAGAAUCCCCCAUUUAACCCAAAAAUCACGCGUUUUCUCUUCGCAAAUCCCCCAUUUAACUCAAAAAUCAUGCGUUCUCUCUUCGCAAAUCCCCCAUUUAAGUGAAAAUCAUAUGUUUUCUCUUUGGAAAUCCCCAAUUUAACAGAAAAUCAUGCGUUUUCUCUUCGAGAACCCCCCAUUUAAGCGAAAAUCCCGCGUUUUCUGUUCAAGAAUCCCCCAUUUAAGCGAAAAUCACGCGUUUUCUGUUCAAGAAUCCUCCAUUUAACCCGAAAAUCACGCGUUUUCUCUUGUAAAAUCCCCCAUUUAAGCGAAAAUCACGUUUUCUCUUCGAGAAUCCCCCAUUUAAGUGAAAAUCAUGUGUUUUCUUUUCGCAAAUCCCCCAUUUAAGCAAAAAUCACGCAUUUUCUCUUCGAGAAUCCCCCAUUUAACCGAAAAUCACGCAUUUUCUCUUCGAGAAUCCCCCAUUUAACCCGAAAAUCACGCGUUUUCUCUUCCCAAAUCCCCCAUUUAAGCGAAAAUCACGCGUUUUCUCCUCACAAAUCCCCCAUUUAACCCGAAAAUCACGCGUUUUCUCUUCGCAAAUCCCCCUUUUAACGAAAAUCACGCGUUUUCUCUUCGGAAAUCGCCCAUUGAAGCAAAAAUCACGCAUUUUCUCUUCGAGAAUCCCCCAUUUAACCCGAAAAUCACGCAUUUUCUCUUCAAGAAUCCCUCAUUUAACCCGAAUAUCAUACGCUUUCUCUUCAGAAAUCUUCCAUUUAACCCGAAAAUCACUCGUUUUCUCUUCAAGAAUCCCCCAUUUAAGCGAAAAUCACAAGUUUUCUCUUCGCAAAUCCCCCAUUUAACUCGAAAAUGACGCAUUUUCUCUUCGCAAAUCCCCCAUAUAGGCGAAAAUCACGCGUUUUCUCUUCGCAAAUCCCCCAUUUAACUCGAAAAUCACGCAUAUCCUCUUCGCAAAUCCCCCAUUUAACCCGAAAAUCACGCGUUUUCUCUUGGAGAAUCUUCCAUUUAACCCGAAAAUCACUCAUAUCCUCUGCGCAAAUCCCCCAUUUAACUCGAAAGUGACGCGUUUUCUCUUUGCAAAUCCCCCAUUUAAGCGAAAAUCACGCGUUUUCUCUUUGCAAAUCCCCCAUUUAAGCGAAAAUCACGCGUUUUCUCUUCGCAAAUCCCCCAUUUAACUCAAAAAAUGACGCGUUUUCUCUUCACAAAUCCCCCAUUUAACCAAUAAUCACGUGUUUUCUCUUCGAGAAUCCCUUUUCUAACCCGAAAAUCACGCAUUUUCUCUUCGAGAAUCCCCCAUUUAACCCGAAAUCACUCGUUUUCUCUUCGAGAAUCCCCCUUUUAACCUGAAAAUCACACGUCUUCUCUUCGGAAAUUGCCCAUUUAAGCGAAAAUCACGCAUAUUCUUUUUGAGAGUCCCCCUUUUAACCUGAAAAUCACACGUUUUCUCUUCCCAAAUCCCCCAUUUAAGCCGAAAAUCACGCGUUUUCUCUUCGCAAAACCCCCAUUUAACCCGAAAAUCACGCGUUUUCUCUUCCCAAAUCCCCCAUUUAAGCGAAAAUCAUGCGUUUUCUCUUCGCAAAUCCCACAUUUAACCCGAAAAUGACGCAUUUUCUCUUCACAAAUCCCCCAUUUAAGCGAAAAUCACGCAUUUUCUCUUCGCAAAUCCUCCAUCUAAGCAAAAAUCACGCAUUUUUUCUUCGAGAAUCCCCCAUUUAACCCGAAAAUCACGCGUUUUCUCUUCGAGAUUCCCCCAUUUAAGUGAAAAUCAUGUGUUUUCACUUUGCAAAUCCACCUUUUAACUCGAAAAUCACGUUUUCUUUUUGAGAAUCCCCCAUUUAACCCGAAAAUCACGCGUUUUCUCUUCGCUAAUACCCCAUUUAACUAAAAAACACGUGUUUUCUCUUCGAGAAUCCCCCAUUUAACUCAAAAUUCACGCGUUUUCUCUUGGAGAAUCUUCCAUUUAACCCGAAUAUCAUACGCUUUCUCUUCAGAAAUCUUCCAUUUAACCCGAAAAUCACUCGUUUUGUCUUCAAGAAUCCCCCAUUUAAGCGAAAAUCACGCGUUUUCUCUUCGCAAAUCCCCCAUUUAACUCGAAAAUGACGCGUUUUCUCUUUGCAAAUCCCCCAUAUAGGCGAAAAUCACGCUUUUUCUCUUCGCAAAUCCCCCAUUUAACUCGAAAAUGACGCAUUUUCUCUUCGCAAAUCCCCCAUAUAGGCGAAAAUCACGCGUUUUCUCUUCGCAAAUCCCCCAUUUAACUCGAAAAUCACGCAUAUCCUCUUCGCAAAUCCCCCAUUUAACUCGAAAAUCACGCGUUUUCUCUUGGAGAAUCUUCCAUUUAACCUGAAAAUCACUCAUAUCCUCUGCGCAAAUCCCCCAUUUAACCCGAAAAUGACGCGUUUUCUCUUUGCAAAUCCCCCAUUUAAGCCGAAAAUCACGCGUUUUCUCUUCGCAAAUCCCCCAUUUAACUCGAAAAUCACGCAUAUCCUCUUCGCAAAUCCCGCAUUUAACCCGAAAAUCACGCGCUUUCUCUUGGAGAAUCUUCCAUUUAACCCGAAAAUCACUCAUAUCCUCUGCACAAAUCCCCCAUUUAACUCGAAAAUGACACGUUUUCUCUAUGCAAAUCCCCCAUUUAAGCGAAAAUCACGCGUUUUCUCUUCGCAAAUCCCCCAUUUAACUCGAAAAUCACUCAUAUCCUCCUCGCAAAUCCGCCAUUUAACCCGAAAAUCACGCAUUUUCUCUUCGGAAACCCCCCAUUUAACCAAAAAUCAUGUGUUUUCUCUUCGAGAAUCCCUUUUCUAACCCGAAAAUCACGCAUUUUCUCUUCGAGAAUCCCCCAUUUAACCCGAAAUCACUCGUUUUCUCUUCGAGAAUCCCCCUUUUAACCUGAAAAUCACACGUCUUCUCUUCGGAAAUUGCCCAUUUAAGCGAAAAUCACGCAUAUUCUUUUUGAGAGUCCCCCAUUUAACCCGAAAAUCACGCGUUUUCUCUUCCCAAAUCCCCCAUUUAAGCGAAAAUCACGCGUUUUCUCUUCGCAAAUCCCACAUUUAACCCGAAAAUGACGCAUUUUCUCUUCACAAAUCCCCCAUUUAACCCGAAAAUCACGCGUUUUCUCUUCGCAAAUCCUCCAUCUAAGCAAAAAUCACGCAUUUUCUCUUCGAGAAUCCCCCAUUUAACCCGAAAAUCAUGUGUUUUCACUUUGCAAAUCCACCUUUUAACUCGAAAAUCACGUUUUCUUUUUGAGAAUCCCCCAUUUAAGCGAAAAUCACGCGUUUUCUCUUCGCUAAUACCCCAUUUAACUAAAAAUCACGUGUUUUCUCUUCGAGAAUCCCCCAUUUAACCCGAAGAUCAUACGCUUUCUCUUCAGAAAUCUUCCAUUUAACCCGAAAAUCACUCGUUUUCUCUUCAAGAAUCCCCCAUUUAAGCGAAAAUCACGCGUUUUCUCUUCGCAAAUCCCCCAUUUAACUCGAAAAUGACGCGUUUUCUCUUUGCAAAUCCCUCAUGUAGGCGAAAAUCACGCUUUUUCUCUUCGCAAAUCCCCCAUUUAACUCGAAAAUGACGCAUUUUCUCUUCGCAAAUCCCCCAUAUAGGCGAAAAUCACGCGUUUUCUCUUCGCAAAUCCCCCAUUUAACUCGAAAAUCACGCAUAUCCUCUUCGCAAAUCCCCCAUUUAACCCGAAAAUCACGCGUUUUCUCUUGGAGAAUCUUCCAUUUAACCCGAAAAUCACUCAUAUCCUCUGCGCAAAUCCCCCAUUUGACUCGAAAAUGACACGUUUUCUCUUUGCAAAUCCCCCAUUUAAGCGAAAAUCACGCGUUUUCUCUGCGCAAAUCCCCCAUUUAACCUGAAAAUCACGUGUUUUCUCUUCGCAAAUCCCCCAUUUAAGCGAAAAUCACGUGUUUUCACUUCGCAAAUCUUCCAUUUAACCCGAAAAUCACGCAUUUUGUCUUCACAAAUCCCCCUUUUAACCCGAAAAUCUCGUGUUUUCCCUUCGCAAAUCUUUCAUUUUACCCGGAAAUCACGCAUUUUCUCUUCGGAAAUCCCCCUUUUAUCUCGAAAAUCACGCGUUUUCUCUUCGCAAAUCCCCCAUUUAACCCGAAAAUCACGCGCUUUCUCUUCGCAAAUCCCCCAUUUAAGCGAAAAUCACGCGUUUUCUCUUUGAAAAUCCCCCGUUUAACCGAAAAUCACGCGUUUUCUCUUUGAGAAUCCCCCAUUUAACCCAAAAAUCAUGCGUUUUCUCUUCGCAAAUCCUCCAUCUAAGCAAAAAUCACGUGUUUUCUCUUCGAGAAUCCCCCAUUUAACCCGAAAAUGAUGCGUUUUCUCUUCCAGAAUCCCCCUUUUAACUCGAAAAAGACACAUAUCCAAUUCGGAAAUCACCCAUUUGAGCGAAAAUCACGCAUUUUCUCUUCGAGAAUCCCCCAUUUAACCAAAAAUCACGUGUUUUCUCUUCGCAAAUCCCCCAUUUAAGCGAAAAUCACACGUUUUCUCUUCGAGAAUCCUCCAUUUAUCCCGAAAAUCACGCAUUUAAUCUUUGCAAAUCCCACUUUUAAGCGAAAAUCACGCAUUUUCUCUUCGGAAAUUUCACAUUUAAUUGAAAAUCACGUAUUUUCUCUUCGAGAAUCCCCCAUUUAACCCAAAAAUCAUGUGUUUUCUCUUCAGAAAUCUUCCAUUUAACCCGAAAAUCACUCGUUUUCUCUUCGAGAAUCCACCAUUUAACCCGAAAAUCACGCGCUUUCUCUUCGCAAAUCCCCCUUUUAACCUGGAAAUCACGCAUGUCCUCUUUGCAAAUCCCCCAUUUAACUCGAAAAUCACGCGUUUUCUCUUUGAAAAUCCCCCAUUUAG